rnacentral:miRNA from 1 species
UAAAUGGUCUUUUUAUCGUGUAC